rnacentral:ncRNA from 1 species
UUAAGUUGUGGGUGACAACCGUUAAAAACACCCAAACAAAAUUCAUUCUCCGCAAACUGCUAGCGGCGUUAUAAAAUAGGCAGAUAUAAACAAGAAUGGAGGAAAAU